GCCGCCCCUCCUCGGCGCCGCGCCGCUGCCCGCGCGGGCCGCCUAGAGCUCCCGGGCCGCCCCGCGACCGGGGGCCUCUCUCGCGGGGCGCCCGGCUCCCCUCACCCGCUCCCGCCCCCUGGGCGGCCGUGGAGUCGCGGGGAGGGCGGGAAGGGCCUCCCGAGGAGAGCGGGCGGGCGCGAACGCGGGCUCCGCCACCCGAGCCGCUCCGUUACCGCAGCGGCGACGACGACCAGGGCCGUGUUGUUGCUGCCAACUUGUCGAAAGGACACUGAGCAUGCGCGCACGGAGACCACAUCCGGGAGGCAUGCAAGCAAGAAAUUUUGAAGACCACAGUGCCAAGGCACUCCAGGGGACCUAAGCCACCACCUUUCCGGAGACUUCUUCAGCUCUAUAGGAGGCCAAAGACUUGAUGAAGAAGAGCGAAGAUGGGUAGAGCCAAUGCUCCAUUUUAUUUAUUUAUUUAAAUCUACUAAAAAGCUACAAUAGCUGCUAUCCAUGCCAGAUCCAGCAAGGGUGACAGAGGCAGCUGUGAACAGAAUCCGAAGUGGGGGAAAGGGGUUGGGCAGGCAGGAAGGAAUUACGUGGGAGGGGAAGGGAAAUCACAGCCCACCUUUGUCUGGCUGCAGUCCUCUAAGUACUAACAGAGACCAAGAGGCAGCUGAAAGCAAGGGACAGGAGCAGUACACACCCCUCUGUCAGCCCUAACCAUUCACACAAUGCACAUUUUUAUUCAAUACGGACCAGGUACCAAGUACUAAGGGAUUCAGAGAGAAAUCUAUAGCACAUGCCCUUGAGUAGUGCCGAGUCUAGUGGGGGAAGAGUGAAGUGUUAAUAGAUAAUUCUGAUGAGGUGGACACAGAAUGCUGUGAAAAAACAAAGAAGGAGCAACCUAAUCUUGCCAGAGUUCAGAAGCCUUCACAAGAAAGUGACAUUUGAGCUGGACUUGGAGGGAAAAUAGGAGUUUGCCAGUAGAAUAGGAUUGAGUGAAGACUUUCAGGGCAGAGAAAACAGGCUACAGAUAUGAAAGUGAUUGGUGUGUUUGUGGAAUUCAAUAUAUAGCCGUAGGUAUACCUGUCAUAUACAAACAAAGCAAAACGCAAUACACCACGUUCAAGAGGGUACAUAUUACAGCGUUGUUGGCCUUAACAGACUGUUGGAAAUAACUCAAAUGUUUACCAAAAGGAGACUGGAUAAAUAAACUAUGGCACAUCCAUACAAUGGAAGACUAGAUAGCUGUAAUUUAAGUGGAAGUUUUCACUGUACCCGUAUGGAAAGAUCUCAAAGGUUUACUGCCAAAUGACAAUGCAAAGUCCAAAACAAUGUGUAUAUUAUGCUAUCUUUUCUAUCAUAAAGGAGGAAAAAUAGUAUAUGUUUAUAACAAUAAUGGUUGUAUGGAGUAGAGUGAGAAUUGGACAGAUGAGGAAUGGAUGGGAGAAAAUUUUUCACUGUAUAACUUCUUUUAUUAUUCAACCAUGUAGAUGCAUUACCUAUUCAAAAAAUUAAACUGAAACUAGAUUCAAACUUGAAAUUCAGAGUGACUGGAAUGUGUAUGCCCUUCCUUUCCUUUAAGACUCUGUCGAUAAUCAGGGUGCCUGGCUGGCUCAGUUGGAAGAGUAUGGGACUCCUGAUCUUGAUC